rnacentral:lncRNA from 1 species
ACUGGAGGGCUAUCAAAAUCACUGGGAGACAUGAAAGGUGUUUGAGUAAGGGGCUCUGUGCUCAGCACUUGAGUUACCGUCACAGACACACAGAACAUGAGAGAAUUCGUCAGAAACCCCAGAUCUGUCCCAUGGGAACCUAACAUUUAAUAGGAUCUCCAGGUGAUUGCAGUGUGUGGCAAAGCUUAAGUAGUAGUCCUGUCUCUCCUCUAAGGGCUUGAACAAGGUGUAAGAAGUGUGGACAGGUGGCUGGGCUCCAACUGAGCCUUGAAAAUGGAGACAAAGGAAAGCUGGAUUGAAAACUCAUCCAAGAGACCAGAAGCAGGGCUGAGGAAAGUCAAACAGGGAGAGGGGAGGUAUCAAAAGCAUCCCUGAUGUGUAUAGUUAGGGGUGGGGUGCAGAUCUGAGAGGUGAGAAAAGGCUGUCCUAAUGCCUACUGGGAUGGGAGCCAUGUGUCCUCUCUGCUUCCCAUGGCCACUAGAAACACGGUGCCACGGCUCAGCCAUAGAGCUGUGGUUCCACAGGGAGGGUUGUGGGAUUACAGAGGGAUGACAGAGCCGGGGAUUGGGUAAGGAACACAGGAAGCUGAUGGUUGGCCCUUCUUUAUAAGAGAUGGAAGAGAGGCAAUACUGAUGCUGAUCUGGAGCUAACUAGCUACAGCAGACUCUGCCAGCUGGUGACUUGGACAAGCAUAUCUACCCAGCUACCUCUUUGCUGUCAGUUGAGGAUAAAACCAGCACCUGCUCCCUGGACACUGAGGAGAGACCUUCAGGGGCACAUGAACCCUAGGAUACGGAUAAGAAACCAACAAGGUUUGCUGCCUACUGUGGCUGCUGCCAGAGGUACCAGUAUCCCCGGAGUCCUUCUGAUGUACACCCACCCCCAACACUGAAACCUGCUGGCUGAGCUAUACUUCCCCCAAGAAGUCAACUCAAGCAGAGACCGAUCCUUUGAACAACGUGGUAUCAUCCACUGUUGGGGGUCAGAGCCAUGAGGGUGUCUGUCCUGUAGGAUUUAUCUUGGGAAUCUCCAAACUCCAUUGUGUUUCCUGCUGCCACCAAGAUGAAUUCCCUCUGCUUUCCUUGUCUGUGUACCCUAGCGUUACCAUAGCAGGCCCAGAGUAGGGUCUUGUCUAAAAGAAUGAUGGGUAACUGGUGAGUGAAUAAGAAAAGAGGAUGGGGGCUGGAGAGAUGGCUCAGAGGUUAAGAGCUCCGACUGCUCUUCCAGAGGUCCUGAGUUCAAUUCCCAGCAACCACAUGGUGGCUCACAACAAUCUUAUCUGGUGCCCUCUCCUGGUGUGCAGAUAUACAUUGUAUACAUAAUAAAUUUUUUUAAAAAAGAAUAUAUAAAAAAAGA